rnacentral:tRNA from 1 species
GGGGUUGUGGCUCCAUGGUAGAGCACUUUCCUAGCACGAGAGAGGCCUUGGGUUUGAUCCUCAGCACCACA